UGCGUAGGCGGAUUAAUAAGUCAGUGGUGAAAACCUGCAGCUUAACUGUAGACUUGCCAUUGAUACUGUUAGUCUUGAGUACGGUCAAGGUAGGCGGAAUGUGUAAUGUAGCGGUGAAAUGCUUAGAUAUUACACAGAACACCGAUUGCGAAGGCAUUGUACUGGCCAAUAACUGACGCUGAUGCACGAAAGCAUGGGGAGCGAACAGGAUUAGAUACCCUGGUAGUCC
rnacentral:rRNA from 1 species